rnacentral:lncRNA from 10 species
CUGCCCGGCGAGACGUGACUUUGUUCCUCCUUUGCCUUCUGCGAUGAUGGUGAGGCCUCCCCAGCCACGUGGAACUGUCUACUUCUGAAAGAACAGUUUCACUGAUGAAACGGAUUCAUUUCUGGCUUUCAGUCUUAAAGCUGCAUAUACAAGAAAUGCUUGAAGCCCUCGGCAUGGCCCUGUCUGUGACGCCUGCCCCGCUGGGGCCAUGGAGGGACACAGCUACUCACCCCUUCGGACUUCUUGUCAGGGAAGACGCAUGUCGACCCCCCGGCUGUGAAGUUGCAGUAAACCUUGAAGGAAUCCCUGGAGCAUCCUUGGUUAGGAUCGACCCAGUAUUCACCUGGAUUUCAGAGACGGGGAGGGAGGCAGGCAGAGUCAGAAGGAUUGCUCCCUGGAUGGUUCCGGAAGCCGCUGUGACAUUUCAGUCCAGCAGUUAAAAUGCACGCCCCAGGAAUGCCGCCAACACGGGCCUUUCUGGGGUUUACUUUAUUGCAUUUUGCUUCUCCUGCUGGGCCCAUAAAGAGAUGUGGACAAACUCAUUCACCAAGAACACAGCUGGUGCAUGAAGCAACUGGGUACGUGUUCUGGUGGCCAGGAGGGUUGGGGUCCGGCCUACUCUCUGGGUGGACAGAAAUGCAGAGAGGGUUCUGGAAGGAACUCUGGAAAUUCAUGCAUGUAGGAUCAGAGUCUACUGGAACCAUGAACAUCCCUCGAAUCUUGCAGGGGGAACAUUCAAACUUCCCAGGGGGAAGAAAAGCUAAUGGGAAUUUAUCCUUCAAUUGGUGCCUGAGGCUAUGAUGGUGAGGAGAAGGAUGUGUUUUUACAGUAUCGCGGAGUUUGAAGGCCGUUUGCCCAAGCACAGCGUCUGCUGCCGGUCCUAACACUGACCCUUACUUCCACUGGCACUGUGCCAGCCUCUCAGGCACUGCCUCACGCAACUCUGUCCUCUUCCUGGGAGAUGUUUCUGUUCCCAUUUGACAGGUCAGGAACACGAGGUUCAAGCAGGUCACCCCGCCAGAAAAUGCCUAAGACCAGAUGAGAACCUGGAGAGUCUGACCUCAAAGCCUUGGCCUCUGCACCCGGCCUCACCCUGAGAUGCCUCCAUAAAGUUCAAGAGGGGAGGCUCUUGCGCACCCCGGCCCCACAGAUGGGGAGGCUGCGGCUGCCCGUCCUGUCCCUUCCGCUGUGCCUGGCUGAACUGUCCUUGCCACACUCCAUGUGUCCUGCAGGUCCAUGCCCGCUUUGGGGGGCCACCCCUGCCCCCCCAGGCCCUCACCAUCUGGGAAGUCGGGGUGGCAGAGCUGCAGGUCCUUGCAGGUGCGGGCGGGGUUCUG